AUUGAACGCUGGCGGCAUGCUUUACACAUGCAAGUCGAACGGCAGCGCGGGCUUCGGCCUGGCGGCGAGUGGCGAACGGGUGAGUAAUGCAUCGGAACGUGCCCAGUAGUGGGGGAUAGCCCGGCGAAAGCCGGAUUAAUACCGCAUACGACCUGAGGGUGAAAGCGGGGGACCGAAAGGCCUCGCGCUAUUGGAGCGGCCGAUGUCGGAUUAGCUAGUUGGUGGGGUAAAGGCUUACCAAGGCGACGAUCCGUAGCUGGUCUGAGAGGACGACCAGCCACACUGGGACUGAGACACGGCCCAGACUCCUACGGGAGGCAGCAGUGGGGAAUUUUGGACAAUGGGCGCAAGCCUGAUCCAGCCAUGCCGCGUGCAGGAUGAAGGCCUUCGGGUUGUAAACUGCUUUUGUACGGAACGAAAAGGUGCCUUCUAAUAAAGGGCGCUCAUGACGGUACCGGAAGAAUAAGCACCGGCUAACUACGUG
rnacentral:rRNA from 1 species